UAUUGCCAAGGGCAAACCCGGUGAAAGCCGGGGGCGCAAAGCUACAGGGUCUAAGGCGUUUGAUAAAACGCUACGAUAGCCUGGCUGCCAAA
rfam:Syntrophobotulus glycolicus DSM 8271, complete genome.